rfam:Triticum aestivum genome assembly, contig: Triticum_aestivum_CS42_TGACv1_scaffold_090577_1DS
CAACUACUCCCUCUGUCCCAAAUUUCUUGUCUUAGAUUUGUCUAGAUACGGAUGUAUAUAAUACUAAAAUGUGACUUGAUACAUCCGUAUCUAGACAAAUCUAAGACAAGAAUUUUGGGACGGAGGGAGUACUUU